UACGUAGGGUGCAAGCGUUAAUCGGAAUUACUGGGCGUAAAGCGUGCGCAGGCGGUUUUGUAAGUCUGUCGUGAAAUCCCCGGGCUCAACCUGGGAAUUGCGAUGGAGACUGCAAGGCUGGAGUCUGGCAGAGGGGGGGUAGAAUUCCACGUGUAGCAGUGAAAAUGCGUAGAGAUGUGGAGGAACACCGAUGGCGAAGGCAGCCUUCUGGGCCAACACUGACGCUCAUGCACGAAAGCGUGGGGAGCAAACAGG
rnacentral:rRNA from 1 species